GACGAACGCUGGCGGUAUGCUUAACACAUGCAAGUCGAACGAGAAGUUUUUUAUUGAACCUUCGGGGGAUAUAAGAGACAGACAGUGGCGAACGGGUGGGUAACGCGUGGGCAACCUACCUAUCGGAGCGGGAUAGCCUCGAGAAAUCGGGAGUAAAACCGCAUAACACGGAUAUAUCGCAUGAUGAAUCCGUCAAAACUCCGGUGCCGAUAGAUGGGCCCGCGUCUGAUUAGCUAGUUGGUAAGGUAAGGGCUUACCAAGGCAACGAUCAGUAGCCGGUCUGAGAGGGCGAACGGCCACACUGGAACUGAGACACGGUCCAGACUCCUACGGGAGGCAGCAGUGGGGAAUAUUGCGCAAUGGGGGCAACCCUGACGCAGCAAUACCGCGUGAGUGAAGAAGGUUUUCGGAUCGUAAAGCUCUGUUAUUGGGAAGAAGCAGUGACGGUACCCAAUGAGA
rnacentral:rRNA from 1 species